CCUUUUAUCAGAGUGGUGCAUCUUUUUAUCUUUGCCUCUCGGCAAAAAAAAACGGGGGUCUAGGACUAGAAGCAUCGAAAUUUUAAAACCACUGAAUACAUAUCAUACUAAAUGUUGUAAGCUCUAGAUAGUCAAAAUAUGCUUGUAUUAUGCAGUAUGAAAGAAAAUGGGUCUGAUUAGGACACGUCGACUGAGAAAUGGCAAUUUCUUAGUCGAUGAUCUGAUCACGCAUCUACAGAAGAAAAAAAACACGAGGAAGCUGCCCAAAUCUCAAAGUCGAUCGAAUGGACCGAGAAACUCUUAUUUCUCAGACGACCGAGCCCUAGAAAAACCGAAAAAAAAUACUUGUCUAAUAAUUUAAAGCUAAGUCAGCUCAAUUGGAAUUAGUCUUUUCCUCUUAAUCAUGCCUCAUAACAUAAACAAACAUGCCCCCCCCCCUCCCCCC
rnacentral:lncRNA from 1 species